CGCGGCCUAUCAGCUUGUUGGUGGGGUAGUGGCCUACCAAGGCGACGACGGGUAGCCGGCCUGAGAGGGUGACCGGCCACACUGGGACUGAGACACGGCCCAGACUCCUACGGGAGGCAGCAGUGGGGAAUAUUGCGCAAUGGGCGGAAGCCUGACGCAGCGACGCCGCGUGGGGGAUGACGGCCUUCGGGUUGUAAACCUCUUUCAGCAGGGACGAAGCCUUUAGGGGUGACGGUACCUGCAGAAGAAGCACCGGCCAACUACGUGCCAGCAGCCGCGGUAAUACGUAGGGUGCAAGCGUUGUCCGGAAUUAUUGGGCGUAAAGAGCUCGUAGGCGGUUUGUCGCGUCGGCUGUGAAAACCCGGAGCUCAACUCCGGGCCUGCAGUCGAUACGGGCAGACUUGAGUAUUGCAGGGGAGACUGGAAUUCCUGGUGUAGCGGUGAAAUGCGCAGAUAUCAGGAGGAACACCGGUGGCGAAGGCGGGUCUCUGGGCAAUAACUGACGCUGAGGAGCGAAAGCGUGGGGAGCGAACAGGAUUAGAUACCCUGGUAGUCCACGCCGUAAACGUUGGGCGCUAGGUGUGGGGGCCAUUCCACGGUCUCCGUGCCGCAGCUAACGCAUUAAGCGCCCCGCCUGGGGAGUACGG
rnacentral:rRNA from 1 species